UGGGACAAGAAUGGAUGCGCCG
rnacentral:siRNA from 1 species